GUCUUGGGCCAGGCCUCCUCACAGGCAGGGCCGCGCCGGCAAAAACGAGGCGCGGUGGGAACCCGCCCAGGGGCCAUCCGCCCUCCCGUCCCUAACGCCCAGGCCCCGGGGGCUCACCACGUCCCCCGGAACCUGCAGAUCCUCCGCCCUCCGCUGUCGCCAGCGGCCGAGCGCUAAGCUGUCCAUGCAGCCCCAGGGUCAAAC
rnacentral:lncRNA from 1 species